UUUUCUCCAAUGUAUCUUGUAAUUUUUGUGAUGUUUACUUAUCGAGUUAGAUUUAUGAAAUUAUCAUACGGAUAUAAACGGGUAAACGGACAUCCAGCUUGUAGAUACGAACUACGACUUGUGGUCAAUGAAGUGUCAGUCUUUCAUUGGCUUUAUACGUCACAUACUUCAAACUUCCAUUUUUUGUUAAUGUGCUCAAAUAAUAUUUUUCUUUGAAUUAUUCCGAGUAAUAAUCACAAUAUUUUGUAAAUGUCAUUUAAUCAUGUGAUUUUUAGAGAAUUUAUGAUAUUUUUGGGGGUAACUAAACGAUUUGUGCUUAAAUUGUAAUGCAAACCCAUAAUCCACUGCUAUAUGUGCAGAGUAAACAUACUAAAGAAACUUUUACCAUAGUCUUUUUUACAGUUUUUACGGGCAAAGUUAUUUGGUUAGUAGCCGCCACUACACUAGACAUGGAAAACCGGGAAACGUCGUGAUCGUCUUCUUUCCUCUGUUAAAUCUUCUGACACGAUGUAAAUCGAGAAAGUUUAUCUUUUUGGCUAUAUAUAUCAAAAUAAAUGGAUAUCUUCACGGCGUUUAAAAUGUAACGGGACAAAGAAAACGCUAUUACAAUGUCUAUGAUCUGAACUGACCGUUAAUAGAUGAUAGACAGACUUAACUUUACGUUCCCUGGCUAUAGCUGCUGUGGUUUCUUUCUUCUUAUCGCCGUCUUGUCAUCUCAACCAGUUUAAUCCGACGACGUUUCCUUCUCAUCGUCACGUGAUGAGGAAAAUGGAAAAUAUAUUUAAAAAACUUAAAAAGACAAAGAAGGGAGUUAAUGGGCUUAUUAAGUAGGGCCUAGUUAUUAAAUGGCCCGUAUAAAAGAUUGUCUGUGUCCUUUCCAAAAGAGACAAAUCUGCCCCUUCUAUUUUGGCUUCAAUCUAAUAGUCAACGCUCCUUUUCUUGUCUUUGUCGACACUCACUCUUCUUGUAGACCUUCUUCUGCUGUGCUUCAGGGUCCCCACGUUGUGUGUUAUUUACCUUUGGUUUUGCAGACCUCUCUGACUUUACCCUUAUCUUCUCUCUUGUAUUUUUUUUGUUUAAACUAUACCUUAUGAAAAUCGUUGAUUUGAUAAUAAGCUAGAAUUAAUUUCGGAAUAUGUGAAAAAAUUCGGAUAGUCUUACAGUUUUAGUUGUUAACAAUGGCUAAUCAUAAAUAAAAUCAUAGUGGAAACGCUCGAAUAUCACACACUUAGAUCUUUAUUGGAACAAAUAAUCUGUCGUUAGUUUAGAAACUCUGAAAGUUCUAGCGACUUUGACAUAUCUUGUCCUCUAUCAAUGGCCAAACACUGAAAUGAGAUGAUGAAUCAACAACUAUUUGAUCGCGAUUACUAAUCGUGUGACGAUAACAAAACAAAGAACGAAAUAUAUAUAUUGAUCACUAUCGCUGAUCGUAUGCUAAUGUCCACAGCUACAUAACAAAGCUUUUGCUAGAGAUAAAUCGAAUAGCAAAUGUGUAUCUUACUUAAUAUUAUACUAUAGUUGAUACACAUUUUCAAGUGUUUCCAUUUGUUUUUCAUAACUUUUACAGAUUUUAAGAACUUUACGAGUUUGAUCCGCGAGAUAUCCAAUUUAUUUCAAUAAUUUUUCUUAGUUACAAAAGCCAUGUUAUAGUUUAUACAAGUUUUAUGCAGAAUCGAUUCUGCCAGAAUUAAAAUAUAUUCUCUCAACAUUUGUAACAUAAAAGCUAAUGCUAUUUGUAAAUUAUUGGUUUCCGUGUAUUCUCUCAACAUUUGUAACAUAAAAGCUAAUGCUAUUUGUAAAUUAUUGGUUUCCGGUUAUACUGUACAAGCACUACCGUUUUUGGCGAAUAUAUCUUCACCCCGCUAACAAUAUUUUAUACGAUUAAAUAUCAAGAGGAGCUUUACCAACAAAGGGCCUUUGAUUUGUUGAGAAAUCCAUACACUCGGGGUUGACAUAGACACACAUAUACACUUGGGGACCAAUGUUCUACAUAUAUGCGGCAUAUCUAACACUAUUAAAAGAAGAAUAUGAAGCCUUCUAAGCAUGUCCAUGUCAGAUGGAAAAAUCAGCCACUAAUAUUGCAGCAAUCAUCCAUGUCAUUUUGAUUAAUCUUGAUUUGGGCUUAGUGUUUUAUUUUAACUUUUUCUUCGUGUUGUUAUCGGGGCUCUUACCAGUUUUUGGGCCAUGACAUAUUAUUUUUCUACGAUUCCACGGUUACCGUCGCUUUGCUAACUCUACCUGGCUACACCUCCUUCCUGUAACGUUUCUGAAACACAUUGAUACCUCUUCAUAAACCUUAUCAUUUAUGGCCUCUAGACCACCAGUAAAUUUUAUUUAAGUAUCCUUCAUCUCUUCUUUGUAAUCAACUAUUCUCUGUACAUGACUUGUGACAAUUUCUUUACGAAAUACCAAGAAAGACAAAGCGACAACAAUAAACCAAAUCUGGUUGUGCUUUUUAUGUAGGCUCUUUUCUUGCUAUCAACUUUAAGUCAAGCUGGUGUAUUGGCUCUUUUCAGUCACUUUGCAAGCAAAAUCUGGUACACGUUCUGCAACACGACACAUUGAGAGCAAAUAUAAGAAACAUGUAGCUUUGUGUUAGACAUUGAGAGAUGGGUAAAAUGUUUUUUCAAAAACUUUUUCUCAUAUCAAGACAUGACAGUUCCGAUAGGUUCUGGAGCAGAACGAGAUUGUUUGAGAAGUGAGGUGCUAAUUAACUGGGCUAAAGACAAAGCAAUUGUGUAUGUUGGAGCUUAAAUUUUCAAGAACAAGAGCUUGCAGAGUUUUUAUAUUGAUGGGAACCGGUUCCGGAGCGUUGGUCAAGAGGAUUUCCUUAGCCCGAUUUGAAACCAUCAGUGUAGACGUACUUUUGUCAUAUGGCUUCUAUGUUUCUGGGAAGAGAACAAAAAGUUGUUCCGAGACAUCAUCAUUGUAAGGAAGGGGAUGUACAGAGAAAAUUUAAGGAAAAACAAUCGAGGACAUCCUACUACAAGCAGAUGAGAAAGUUAUGGGUUCAGUCUGAACACAACAUAGCUACCAUUUCCCUGCAACACUCACAUACAUGUUUCAACAUUUUUUUGUUUUUACUAAUUUCAAAUAAACAAAAUUUCUUCAGCUUCGUAUUGAAUAACAAAUAGUAUUAGACUAUUAGUUUACUUCGCAACAAAUUACAGACCAAAAUUUUGAGACGAAGUGAUCUUCAAAAUAUUUGUAUGAACAACAUAAAUAAUACAUGUAAUAGAUUUUUUUUUU